rnacentral:lncRNA from 7 species
GGAAGAAGGAAGAAUUGAGUAGUUGUAAAAAAGCUUGUUUUAAUGAGGGUGUCAUUAGAUUAUUGUUUAAAAAUAUGAAUGCAUGUGAAUUUUGUGAUGGAAAAAAUGUUCUAAUUAACUUUGUUAAGUCUGUAGUGCUGAUAGACGGACAAGCUGUUAGCAUCAAUCCAAAGAGUUCCAUAGCCAGUCAGUAGUUAGUAUGGUUAAUUCCCUGUCUAAGGCAUCUAGGGACAACAUUAAUGCAAACAACGUUAGGCUCAAAGGAAGAAUCACACAGGAAGGGAGAUUAAAAGAAAAGAGAAUAUAAAAGCUUGGAGUGUUCUACAGGUACUCUAAGCAUUAUUGCAGCCGGACUCAUUGUAGCUGGGACAUCUAGUUUAGAUUUAGGGACAUGGAAUGUCUAGGUAAGCUGCUGCUUAUGAAUAAUGAAUUCCUAAAGCAAAUGUGUAAAACUAUAUUGCAUAAGGUGAGGGAUUAUUGUGUUUAACUAGAAUAUAUUAGAAGACGGAGUGCGCUUUGUUACUCACAAGUGAAGAAUUCAACAAAAAUUGUACAGAAAUGGUAUAUUAGUAUUCCUUAUGCAUCUUUCUUUUCUUUCCUUGGCUGGUUUUAAUCUGAAGUUAAUUUGCCCAAAGCACACCUCAUCCUAUUUCUGAGUUGCUUCCCCAGUCUUGUUCCUCCUGGGAAUGGAUCUUGUUUAUUUCAUGAAUAAAAAUACUUGCUUACUUUUAUAGGACUUGACUCCCUAAAAGUUUUAUGUAUUCAUGUAGGUUUAUAUAUAUAAUAUGUAUGUAAGUGCAUACAUGUAGGUGUGUUGUAUUCAUUGUUUCUAGAAAUAAAGUCUUGUCUUUAUGGUACAGAUUCAACUUCUAUUAUAUAAGAUCUUCUGAUUACUAAAAUUUUAUCUUACGUUUGUGACGCGAUAGCUAAAUAGAAAAUGUCCUUUUUUCCUCAUUUGAUUCAGGCUACAAAACUGUGUCUGUAGUUUAGCUACUAGUAUUUAUUUCCACCCAUUUAUAGUCAUUAAAUAUUACUUUAUUCU